GUAAAAAUAGUUUAUUUAAAAUAUUGCUUUUGUAAAGCAAAGAUGACUUUGUUUUCUUAUU
rnacentral:tRNA from 1 species